rnacentral:rRNA from 1 species
GCCUAACACAUGCAAGUCGAGGGGUAGCAGGAUUAAGCUUGCUUAAUUGCUGACGACCGGCGCACGGGUGCGUAACGCGUAUGCAACCUACCUUAUACUGGGGUAUAGCCCGGAGAAAUUCGGAUUAAUCCCCCAUAGUACUAAUGAAUCGCAUGGUUUAUUAGUUAAAGCAUAGCGGUAUAAGAUGGGCAUGCGUCCUAUUAGCUAGUUGGUGAGGUAACGGCUCACCAAGGCAAUGAUUGGUAGGGGAACUGAGAGGUCAAUCCCCCACACUGGCACUGAGAUACGGGCCAGACUCCUACGGGAGGCAGCAGUAGGGAAUAUUGGGCAAUGGACGCAAGUCUGACCCAGCCUUGCCGCGUGCAGGAUGAAGGCGUUAUGCGUUGUAAACUGCUUUUAUACAGGAAGAAACGACUCUUGCGAGAGGCAUUGACGGUACUGUAUGAAUAAGCACCGGCUAACUCCGUGCCAGCCGCCGCUGUAA